UAAAAGGUGUCAUCGUACGGAGUAUCUGUUCACAUCUUACCGGGCAGCAUUGGAUUGCAGUUGAGUCUUCUAAUACUGUCAGGUAAAGAUGUCGUCAGGAUUCCGAAAUCG
rnacentral:pre_miRNA from 1 species